rnacentral:rRNA from 1 species
UACGGGGGGGGCAAGCGUUGUUCGGAAUUACUGGGCGUAAAGGGCGCGUAGGCGGCUUUUCAAGUCGGGCGUGAAAUCUCCGGGCUUAACCCGGAAGGGUCGUUCGAUACUGUUGAGCUAGAGUGUGGAAGAGGCAACUAGAAUUCCGUGUGUAGCGGUGAAAUGCGUAGAUAUACGGAGGAAUACCUGAGGCGAAGGCGGGUCUCUGGGCCGAUACUGACGCUGAGGAGCGAAAGCGUGGGGAGCGAACAGG